AGUCUGAUCAUUUAAGAAACAGAUGACUUGUCCUUUAAAGGAAAUGUGACUCCCUCGCGUUUGACCCACUCUAACUAUAUGGUUGUUCCACUCAGACGCGGCAUGUUCUCCCCCCCACCACCAAUAAAUGAAAGUUCCAGUUCCCACAACGCCUUGACUGGAUCGAGCUGCAGGAAGCAAACGGGAAGAGAAGAGGAAAACGAAGGCCUUCAGGAGAGGGUGCCCAGGACAACGGAGAAGGGGGCAGGCAGGAUUGAAGAUCAGAGCGUGGCUGCCAGGAACGCGGAGCAGGACGGCUGGAGCCCGAAUCAGGGCAACGGCCCUCACCUUUUAGGGCACAUGAUUUCUUUACUGCUGGGUCCCUUGCACCUGGCACAGGGCGGGCGAACAAUACUUAUUUGUUGAAUAAAUGAAUGGUUCAGUGAUAACCAACCGAAGGACUUUUUGGUGCCCGCGUGAGUCCUUUCCGCCAGUGAACCUGCUUGGCUCACGGUCCUCAGAUAGGCUUGCUUGAAUCUUCUGGCCCAUGUCCCUCACC